rnacentral:rRNA from 1 species
UACAGAGGUCUCAACCGUUGUUCGGAUUCAUUGGGCGUAAAGGGUGCGUAGGCGGUCGCGUAAGUCAGGUGUGAAAUCCCGGGGCUCAACCCCGGAACUGCACUUGAUACUGCGUGGCUAGGGUACUGGAGAGGAGACUGGAAUUUACGGUGUAGCAGUGAAAUGCGUAGAUAUCGUAAGGAAGACCAGUGGCGAAGGCGAGUCUCUGGGAUGAUGCUGACGCUGAGGCGCGAAAGCCAGGGGAGCAAACGGG